rnacentral:rRNA from 1 species
GACGAACGCUGGCGGCGUGCUUAACACAUGCAAGUCGAACGGAAAGGCCUGCUUUCCCUUGUGGAUUGCGGGUACUCGAGUGGCGAACGGGUGAGUAACACGUGAGUGAUCUGCCCCCAACUUGGGUAUAAGCCUGGGAAACUGGGUCUAAUUCCCGAUAGGACUGCAGGGUGGUGCCUGUGGUGGAAAACGAUUUUCUAGUGGUUGGGGAUGAGCUCGCGGCCUAUCAGCUUGUUGGUGGGGUAAUGGCCUACCAAGGCGGCGACGGGUAGCCGGCCUGAGAGGGUGGACGGCCAAAGUGGGACUGAGAUACGGCCCAGACUCCUACGGGAGGCAGCAGUGGGGAAUAUUGCACAAUGGGCGGAAGCCUGAUGCAGCGACGCCGCGUGGGGGAUGACGGCCUUCGGGUUGUAAACUCCUUUCGACCGCGAGGAAGCCACCUGGUUGGAAGGGUGGUGACGGUAGUGGUAGAAGAAGCACCGGCUAACUACGUG